rnacentral:rRNA from 1 species
AUUGAACGCUGGCGGCAGGCUUAACACAUGCAAGUCGAGCGGGGUGAUGGUGCUUGCACUAUCACUUAGCGGCGGACGGGUGAGUAAUGCAUAGGAAUCUGCCUAUUAGUGGGGGACAACAUCUCGAAAGGGAUGCUAAUACCGCAUACGUCCUACGGGAGAAAGCAGGGGAUCACUUGUGACCUUGCGCUAAUAGAUGAGCCUAAGUCGGAUUAGCGAGUUGGUGGGGUAAAGGCCUACCAAGGCGACGAUCUGUAGCGGGUCUGAGAGGAUGAUCAGCCACACUGGUACUGAGACCCGGCCCAGACUCCUACGGGAGGCAGCAGUGGGGAAUAUUGGACAAUGGGGGGAACCCUGAUCCAGCCAUGCCGCGUGUGUGAAGAAGGCCUUAUGGUUGUAAAGCACUUUAAGCGAGGAGGAGGCUCUUUUGGUUAAUACCCAAGAUGAGUGGACGUUACUCGCAGAAUAAGCACCGGCUAACUCUGUGCCAGCCGCCGCGGUAA